ACGGGAAGAGCCCAAACCAACAAGCUUGCUUGUUGGGGUUGUAGGACACUCUAUACGGAGUUACAAAGGACGACAUUAGACGAAUCAUCUGGAAAGAUGAAUCAAAGAAGGUAAUAAUCCUGUAGUCGAAAAUGUUGUCUCUCUUGAGUGGAUCCUGAGUACGACGGAGCACGUGAAAUUCCGUCGGAAUCUGGGAGGACCAUCUCCUAAGGCUAAAUACUCUCUAGUGACCGAUAGUGAACCAGUACCGUGAGGGAAAGGUGAAAAGCACCCCGGAAGGGGAGUGAAAUAGAACCUGAAACCGUGUGCUUACAAGUAGUCAGAGCCCGUUAAUGGGUGAUGGCGUGCCUUUUGUAGAAUGAACCGGCGAGUUACGAUUUGAUGCAAGGUUAAGCAGUAAAUGUGGAGCCGUAGCGAAAGCGAGUCUGAAUAGGGCGUUUAGUAUUUGGUCGUAGACCCGAAACCAGGUGAUCUACCC
rnacentral:rRNA from 1 species